rnacentral:rRNA from 1 species
AUGGGCAGAAAGGUGUGCAUCUCUCUAGCAAUCCUCGCGCUUGUACUGCUCGGUGGCCCGGGCGCGAAGGCAACAGCCUUUGCCGGCGGCGCCGCCAGCAUGGACGCGGCGGUGGCGGUGCGGCAGGUGAUGCCAACGUCGUCUAUCAAGCUGGAGGACGGUGUGGCGCCUGAGCUUGCAGUGGACAUGGAUGUGCACCGCCGCGUUCUCGUCGACAUCGGCAAGAGCGUCGACGACAGGGACAAGCAACGCUGCCUUAAAACUCCGUGCAUCGCCGGAGGGCCAUACAGCGGCGGCCUCCGGGGAUGCAACCCACGUUACGGGUGCGCCCCUAAGUAA